CAAGAUGAGAUCUCCUAGCAGAAAUGUGAGAGACCCCUUAGAGACGAUGAGGUAGAUAGGGCAGGGGUGGAAGUGCAGCGAUGCAUGGAGCUGACUGCUACUAAUCGGUCGAAAGCUUGACCUA
rnacentral:ncRNA from 1 species